CCUACGGGAGGCAGCAGUGAGGAAUAUUGGUCAAUGGGCGCGAGCCUGAACCAGCCAAGUAGCGUGAAGGAUGACUGCCCUACGGGUUGUAAACUUCUUUUAUAAAGGAAUAAAGUGAGGCACGUGUGCCUUUUUGUAUGUACUUUAUGAAUAAGGAUCGGCUAACUCCGUGCCAGCAGCCGCGGUAAAACGGAGGAUCCGUGCGUUAUCCGGAUUUAUUGGGUUUAAAGGGAGCGUAGAUGGGUUGUUAAGUCAGUUGUGAAAGUUUUCGGCGCAACCGGAAAAUUGCAAUUGAUACUGGCAGCCUUGAGUACAGUUGAGGUAUGCGGAAUUCGUGGUGUAGCGGU
rnacentral:rRNA from 1 species